GAGCGUAGACGGUGUGGCAAGUCUGAUGUGAAAGGCAUGGGCUCAACCUGUGGACUGCAUUGGAAACUGUCAUACUUGAGUGCCGGAGGGGUAAGCGGAAUUCCUAGUGUAGCGGUGAAAUGCGUAGAUAUUAGGAGGAACACCAGUGGCGAAGGCGGCUUACUGGACGGUAACUGACGUUGAGGCUCGAAAGCGUGGGAGCAAACA
rnacentral:rRNA from 1 species